GAAGCCUAGGAGCAAGGUCUGGCCAAGCCUUUCUCCUGGGGAUAUACUCACCUUUUCCUCUUCUGGCUGGUCCUUGGAAAGGAAAUAGGUUUUUGCCAGGACCAUGUUUGAAGUCUUCACAGGAUAGGAGGAGUUGGCAGAGCUUGAAUUUCAGUGACAUAACCUUUGAGAACAAAGAGUAAUCUCCGUGCCAUGUUGAGGCAUCAAAGUAGACCUUUGUGGAGCAAAUAAUAGACGAUUUACUUGUGAAUAAAUUCUAUUUUCUCAUUCUUUGUUUACCA
rnacentral:lncRNA from 1 species